rnacentral:rRNA from 1 species
AUUGAACGCUGGCGGCAUGCUUUACACAUGCAAGUCGAACGGUAACAGGGUGCUUGCACCGCUGACGAGUGGCGAACGGGUGAGUAAUGCGUCGGAACGUGCCGAGGAGUGGGGGAUAACGCAGCGAAAGUUGUGCUAAUACCGCAUACGUACUGAGGUAGAAAGUGGGGGACCUUCGGGCCUCACGCUAUUCGAGCGGCCGACGUCUGAUUAGCUAGUAGGUGAGGUAAAGGCUCACCUAGGCGACGAUCAGUAGCGGGUCUGAGAGGAUGAUCCGCCACACUGGGACUGAGACACGGCCCAGAAUCCUACGGGAGGCAGCAGUGGGGAAUUUUGGACAAUGGGCGAAAGCCUGAUCCAGCCAUGCCGCGUGUCUGAAGAAGGCCUUCGGGUUGUAAAGGACUUUUGUCAGGGAGGAAAUCCCUAGUGCUAAUAACACUGGGGGAUGACAGUACCUGAAGAAUAAGCACCGGCUAACUACGUGCCAGCCGCCGCAGUAA